rnacentral:rRNA from 1 species
AGCCUUAUGAUUUCUAUAUAAGGUGCGUCCUGCCCAGUGAAUUUUUAACGGCCGCAGUACCCUGACUGUGCAAAGGUAGCAUAAUAAUUUGCCUUUUAAUUGGAGGCUUGUAUGAAUGGAUAAACGAGAAUAAAGCUGUCUCUUAUAUACAAAUAAAAAUUGAAUUUUAGGUGAAGAUGCCUAAAUAUUUUUAAAGGACAAAAAGACCCUACUGAGCUUUAUUUUUAAUUAAUUAAAUAAAAAAUAUUAUUACUUUAUAUUAAUAUAAAUUAUGUUGGGGCGACAAAGGAACACAUAAAACUUCCUUUACUUUUAGAUUACAUAUCAUUCUUUGAUCCUAUUUAUAGCUUAAGGAACAAGCUACCAUAGGGAUAACAGGUUAAUCAUUUUAGAGAGUUCUUAUUAAUAAAAUGGAUUGACACCUCGAUGUUGGCUUAAGGUAUCCUAUUGGUGUAGAAGCUAAUAAGGGUUGGUUUGUUCAACCAUUAAAACCUU